UGCCCUGUGGUGUAACGGUAGCACAAGUGACUCUGGAUCACUUUGUCUUGGUUCGAAUCCAAGCGGGGCAGC
rnacentral:tRNA from 1 species